rnacentral:rRNA from 1 species
UGUGUAGGCGGCCCUGUAAGUCGGGUGCGAAAGCCCUGGGCUCAACCCAGGAAGUGCACUCGAAACUGCGAGGCUAGAGUAUCGGAGAGGUUGGUGGAAUUCUCGGUGUAGAGGUGAAAUUCGUAGAUAUCGAGAGGAACACCGGCGGCGAAGGCGGCCAACUGGACGAAUACUGACGCUGAGACACGAAAGCGUGGGGAGCAAACA